rnacentral:rRNA from 1 species
UACGUAGGGGGCAAGCGUUGUCCGGAUUUAUUGGGCGUAAAGAGCGUGUAGGCGGCCAUACAGGUCAGCUGUGAAAACUCGAGGCUCAACCUCGAGACGUCGGUUGAAACCGUAUGGCUAGAGUCCGGAAGAGGAGAGUGGAAUUCCCGGUGUAGCGGUGAAAUGCGCAGAUAUCGGGGAAGAACACCCGUGGCGAAGGCGGCUCUCUGGGACGGUACUGACGCUGAGACGCGAAAGCGUGGGGAGCGAACAGG